UCCGUAGGUGAACCUGCGGAAGGAUCAGUCUUGAUAUACCAUCGGCCGAUGCCAUCGGAUGCGGCCAGGUGCUUGCUCGAUGUGUGUUGGGGGGGCCAUCGUGUCAAAAGCGAUGGUUUCUUAUCCCUUUUGUGGCCUUUGCGGCCACGUUAAUUGGCGUGAGGGCUUAUGCCCCGCCCCGUGCUUCAGAUGUUCGAGUCGGGUCUGAAGCGCGUGUCCCUACCGAACAGUGAUUAAAUAUAUGGGAUGUGUUACCUUUUUUUGAUCGCUGGGAUGCCUUGUAUCGCACAUUGGUGUAAGACCCGCGAGGCCACGGCCACAUCAUCCAUACAAACUAUUACGAUCAUACAGUUAUAAUACAACUGGUAGCGUUGGAUCCCUCGGCAUGGCUAUCGAUGAAGAACGCGGCCAGCUGCGAAAUGUGAUGUGAAUUGCAACUCAAAGCGGUUAUCGUGAAUCAUUGACUAUUUGAACGCAUUGCACCGCCCUUUUGGGAGUGGUACACCCGAUUGAGAGUCAUAAUGACCUUCAGGCCAGGAUACUUGGUCAUUCAGUUUGACAACUGCGCGCGUGUUCUGACCCAUCUCUCUCUGAGGUGGCGAUGGGAUGUUGUGCAUGAGUAUCCUUGGCUCUGGCUUCGAGGCUGCACGAGAUCAUUGGUCUUGCGUGCCUUGAGAUGCAUUAGUGGCGACUGCGAGAGCGAGUUGGACUCUGUGUAAUAAUAAUCCAUUCACGCGGAGGAGUGCUCUGAGCACACUUGUGAUCUAUGGCGCCGCUCCCAACCUGCCGUGAGGCAAACCUUGCGAAAGGCGUCCAUGUCUUGAGCAAAACAUUAUGAAAUUGGCCUCAGUUGGGUGGGAUGACCCGCUUGAUUUAAGCAUAUUAUUCAGCGGAGGAAAAGAAACUAACAAGGAUUCCCUCAGUAACGGCGAGUGAAGCGGGAAGAGCUCAAAGUGUGAAUCUGGCUCGGCCUUUGCCUUGACCCGAGUUGUGCACUAGAGACGUUGUUUUCCGCGCUUGAGACCCGAAGCUUUUAAGUUGUCUGGAAAGGCACUUCACAGAGGGUGAUAGUCCCGUAUGUGGCUCUCGGUUGAACUCGCGCUUGUGAGACACGCUCGUCGAGUCGCGUAGUUUCGUAUUGCUGCGCAAAUUGGGUGGUAGAUGCCAUCUAAAGCUAAAUAUACUGCCAUGUCCGAUAGCUCACAAGUACCGCGAGGGAAAGGUGAAAAGCACUUUGGAAAGAGAGUGAAACAGUUGUGAAAGCGCUAUCAGGGAAACGUUGGCUAGUCUUGUCGUCUGUCCGUCCAUGCUUCACUGCGUGGCUCGGCGAUGCGUCAGAACCCAUCGGGACCGGGAGACACGGUGGCAGUGGAAUCGGCCCUUCGGGGUGUUGUAACUCUGCCCACACGAGCGCCCGGGACGGAUGCGGCCGUGAGCACGCAGCAAUGUUGUGCUCCCUCUGGCAAUAGGCUCAGUCACCGACCCGUCUUGAAACACGGACCAAGGGC
rnacentral:rRNA from 1 species